rnacentral:rRNA from 1 species
UUAGUGAUCAGAAGUGAGAAUGUUGACAUGAGUAGCGACAAACAGGGUGAGAGACCCUGUCGCCGAAAGUCCAAGGGUUCCUGCUUAAAGCUAAUCUGAGCAGGGUAAGCCGGCCCCUAAGGCGAGGCCGAAAGGCGUAGUCGAUGGGAACCAGGUUAAUAUUCCUGGGCCAGGAGAUGGUGACGGAUCACAGAGCUAGUGAGGUCUUAUCGGAUUGAUCUUGCUGGUGAGUGGUUCCUGGAAAUAGCCCUCCAUGAGACCGUACCCUAAACCGACACAGGUGGACUGGUAGAGAAUACCAAGGCGCUUGAGAGAACCACAUUUAAGGAACUCGGCAAAAUACCUCCGUAAGUUCGCGAGAAGGAGGCCCCGUUUGUACGCAAGUAUGGGCGGGGGGCACAAACCAGGGGGUGGCGACUGUUUACUAAAAACACAGGGCUCUGCGAAGUCGCAAGACGACGUAUAGGGUCUGACGCCUGCCCGGUGCCGGAAGGUUAAAAGGAGAUGUGCAAGCAUUGAAUUGAAGCCCCGGUAAACGGCGGCCGUAACAAUAACGGUCCUAAGGUAGCGAAAUUCCUUGUCGGGUAAGUUCCGACCUGCACGAAUGGCGUAACGACUUCCCCGCUGUCUCAAAUGUGGACUCAGCGAAAUUGAAUUGUCUGUGAAGAUGCAGACUUCCCGCGGUUAGACGGAAAGACCCCAUGCACCUUUACUAUAGCUUCGCACUGGCAUCAGGAUUGUGAUGUGCAGGAUAGGUGGUAGGCAUUGAAACCGGGACGCCAGUUCCGGUGGAGCCAUCCUUGAGAUACCACCCUUCGCACUCUUGAUGUCUAACCGCGGCCCGUUAUCCGGGUCCGGGACCCUGCGUGGUGGGUAGUUUGACUGGGGCGGUCGCCUCCCAAAAAGUAACGGAGGCGCGCGAAGGUUGGCUCAGAGCGGUCGGAAAUCGCUCGUUGAGUGCAAUGGCAGAAGCCAGCCUGACUGCAAGACUGACAAGUCGAGCAGAGACGAAAGUCGGCCAUAGUGAUCCGGUGGUCCCGAGUGGAAGGGCCAUCGCUCAACGGAUAAAAGGUACGCUGGGGAUAACAGGCUGAUGAUGCCCAAGAGUCCAUAUCGACGGCAUCGUUUGGCACCUCGAUGUCGGCUCAUCUCAUCCUGGGGCUGGAGCAGGUCCCAAGGGUAUGGCUGUUCGCCAUUUAAAGAGGUACGUGAGCUAGGUUUAGAACGUCGUGAGACAGUUCGGUCCCUAUCUGCCGUGGGUGUAGGAUACUUGAGAGGAGUUGCCCCUAGUACGAGAGGACCGGGGUGAACGUUCCACUGGUGGACCAGUUGUCGUGCCAACGGCAGUGCUGGGUAGCUAUGAACGGACAGGAUAAACGCUGAAGGCAUCUAAGCGUGAAGCCCCCCUCAAAACAAGGUAUCCCUUGAGAGCCGUGGAAGACCACCACGUCGAUAGGCCGGAGAUGUAAGCGCAGCAAUGCGUUCAGUUGACCGGUACUAAUGGCUCCAAA